rnacentral:lncRNA from 1 species
UAAUAAUUUAUCAAUGAUAUAUAUCAACAUAAUUUUUUUUUCAAAAUAUACCAUGCAUAUUAGUAAAAGUCAAAAAUUCUCUCUCAAUCUUUGUUGACUAUAGCUACGAUCAGUCCCGUGAUAAGGCUCAGGAGAAACUAACCCCUAAAAUAUAGACACCUGAUCCUUCAGUAUGUAUCAGAGAAAAACUAGGUCUGAUUCACAUGGCCAUGAUUUAUCCCAUGACAAAACAAAAAGAUUAGUCCUAAAAUAAAAAAUACACAAUGCAUCAGUGUGUGCCAGCAAUCAACCCCAACUGGCUAGAUCCAAGAGGACUAACUCUACCAGCGAU